rnacentral:rRNA from 2 species
AAAACGACUCUCGGCAACGGAUAUCUCGGCUCUCGCAUCGAUGAAGAACGUAGCGAAAUGCGAUACUUGGUGUGAAUUGCAGAAUCCCGUGAACCAUCGAGUCUUUGAACGCAAGUUGCGCCCUAAGCCAUUUGGCCGAGGGCACGCCUGCCUGGGCGUCAAUC